rnacentral:rRNA from 1 species
UACGUAGGUGGCAAGCGUUGUCCGGAAUUAUUGGGCGUAAAGAGCAUGUAGGCGGUUUUUUAAGUCUGGAGUGAAAAUGCGGGGCUCAACCCCGUAUGGCUCUGGAUACUGGAAGACUUGAGUGCAGGAGAGGAAAGGGGAAUUCCCAGUGUAGCGGUGAAAUGCGUAGAUAUUGGGAGGAACACCAGUGGCGAAGGCGCCUUUCUGGACUGUGUCUGACGCUGAGAUGCGAAAGCCAGGGUAGCGAACGGG